GCUUGUCUCAAAGAUUAAGCCAUGCAUGUCUAAGUAUAAACGAUUUUAUACGUGAAACUGCGAAUGGCUCAUUAUAUCAGUUAUAGUUUAUUUGAUGGUCCUUACUAUUUGGAUAACCGUAGUAAUUCUAGAGCUAAUACAUGCAUCAAGCCCUGACUUCGGAAGGGGUGUAUUUAUUAGAUGGAAACCAAUGCCUCGUGCUUUUGGUGAGUCAUGAUAACUGCGCGGAUCGCAUGGCCUUGCGCCGGCGACGCUUCAUUCAAAUUUCUGCCCUAUCAACUUUCGAUGGUAAGAUAGAGGCUUACCAUGGUGUUAACGGGUAACGGGGAAUUGGGGUUCGAUUCCGGAGAGGGAGCCUGAGAAAUGGCUACCACUUCCAAGGAAGGCAGCAGG
rnacentral:rRNA from 1 species